GGUUAGGUUUGGGGGUAGGUUUUAGGCCCCCUGGAUGUCUGGUGCCCAAUUUGGAGAUCCAAAGGAGCUCCGCCCGGUGGCGUUGGGCGAGGCUCCAUUUGGGAUCCGUCUCUACGACAGUCGCCCGGACGGAAGACCACCCGUGUCGGAGAAAAUGCUGAACCAGACUAUGAAGGGCCUCGACUUCUCCACG